AGUUUUAGCGAUCGAUCUUCCUGCUUGGAGGGGUGUGUGUGGGGAGAAAUGCUUAGUUCAUUUCCUGCACCCCCAGAGGAGAUGGCAAUUGCUAAUCUGCUGAAUGGCACAGAAAUAGUAUUUGUGGAGAGGAAGUGACCUUCCUUCUCCCAUGGUAGGGUUUGUUUAUUUCGUGGACUGAAGGUGAAGUUACCCAGGAGUCUGAUUCUUGUUACACCUCCUCCUUUCCUCAGAGUCACCUUUUCUAACUUUUCAGCGAGGGCUUGCUAGAAAGCACAUUUCCCCAUGGAAGAAGAAGUGUGGUAUUGGACUUGGUGAAAGAAGCGCUCACUCCGAUUGUAGCAUGAGCAGACAUUUUGUAAAAUUUCCCAUUUGUUACUUUCUUAUAGCUCCUCUGCAAGUCUUUGGAGUCCUUGUGCAGUUUUCUCUUCUCUUUGCUGGCCUUGAACUGAUGAGGCCUUGGACUUGGCUAGGGCUGUUUUCUGGUGCAGGGGGAUAGGGAGACUCAGUGGAGAGGCCAUGCUGAUGAGUAGCUGGCUGCACAGUUAAUGCUUUUUCCUAAAGGCUCAGUGCCCCUAUCCAUUCGGUUUUGCCCCAGUUAGUGCUGCCUUUGGCCGUUAGGUCAGGGUGUGUUUUGGCCUGUUCUAACAUGUGCCUACUGAGUUGCUCACUGAGUGUCCCAGUGUGUGAUGGUGAGACAACCUUUAGGAUUAGUUGAUGGAUGAAUGAAUUCAUUCCACAAGUGCCAGACUCUUUUGUUGCUGAGGAAGGCACAAGGCUUACCCUCAGAGAGCAGGUUAGUGGGUAGAGGCCAGCAGUAGGCAAACAUAAACAAUCACUCAUUUGCUGUGCACAUAGCUGGAAUCUGUGUGUGAGAUCUUGGCUUGGAUUGGAGGUCUGAUCCUCCUUAAGGAGCUGAAAGCUAAGUGAAGAAGCUGUACAAAACAGGAGACAGAGUUCCUAGAGGCCAGAACUUGUUUGAAGGGCAAAAGGGUAGUGUGCCUCAUACAUCAGGCUGAAGAACUUCAAGGAAGAACCUAGAGGCCACAGUAUAUGAUGGCAUUAUGUUCCAAGAGGAUCAGUAAUAUAGCCCUUUCUUCCCUGACCUUUUUCUGUAGCUGAGAGGCUGAAGUGUGUAUGCAUGCUUCUUGCUUUUGAAAGUGUAAGUCAUGGUGGGAACUUCCUGUCCUUAUAUAAGGUGGGAUCCG
rnacentral:lncRNA from 1 species